rnacentral:lncRNA from 1 species
CACACAGUCAUAUCUACUGAGGAAUUGUUCAUAAGGCACAUAUAUAUAGUCAAUUAAUGCCACGUUUUAAUUUUUUUGUGGGAAUUGAAAGGCUAAGAAGAUCUUUUGAUAGGAAAAUAGUAAAUGGUUGCUAAUAUUAAAAGAGUGCACCGUUUCAAAAAAUUUACAACUUAUCAUAUGACUUAGGCCAUAAAAGUAAGGGAUUGAAAGGUUAAGAAAA